rnacentral:lncRNA from 1 species
UUGAUUUUUGGCUGCAGAUCUUGAUCUUCAAUAUUUGGCUGAGAGGUGUUUUUGAUCGAUUUUUAAUGGUUUUAGAUUUUAUUGUUUUGAUUGAUUUGAUCAAUUUCUGAUUGUUUGGAAGUUUUAAUUAGUUUUGAUGUAUUAAGUGAAUAUGGUGAUCAUUUUACCCUUAAAUAUAGCAAAUAUGUUUUAUCACAAUUUAAGAAACUAUUUUUUUUAUACAGAUCAGCUGAGAUGUGUCCCACUAAGAUAGCCACGUCAGUAAUUUCUGACUUGACAGUCCCAAUUGAAAAAAUUAAAAAAAAUUGAUAGUUUAAUCAUCUAAUUGAUAAAAUUAAAACUUUGAUCACUAAAGUAGAAUAUGGCCUAUAGUCCUAUAGUUCAAGGUAGUAAUUUAUAUUUAAGCCUAUUUUAUAAUGACUUAAAUAAGUUGAAAUUUAAAAUGAAUUAUAAAUUCUUUUAAGUUGUGAUUUAUAAAGAAAAGUGUUUGACAUUAUUUUACUUAAAAGUAAAAAAUUCAGUUAAAAUAAGUUGCGAAAGAGUUUGGCUAAAAUGACUCAUAACUUAAAAUAAUUUUUAAAGAUAACUAAAAUGAGGGCAAAACAAUUUUUACAUUUCAUCAAACUUACUUAUUUUAAAAUGACUUAUAAGUUAUUUUUUGAGAAGUAAGAAAUUGUUAUGCCUCAAAAAUAAUUUAUAAGUUAAAAAUAAUUCACAAACGAACACUUGAACAGUAAAAAACUACUUAUAAGUUGGUUUGCCCAACUUAUAAAUAGUAGCCCAAGUUUGGUUAGUGAUUAAUGAGUAGUAGUACUCCAGUAGUUCCGAGUUUUGGAAGUUAAUGAUACCUCAAUAGUCUGUAAAAAUAAUGCUAGAGCUCUCAAUUUUUUUAUAUAAGGUCAAUGCUCUCAAGUCCUAAUGACUUGGAAAAGUUUAGACACCAUAAUACUACAUUCUUUUUAUAUAAGAUUAUGUCACUGUCUACUUGCAAUGAGGUUGCGAUAAUGUCUGUGCUGCUGCUUGUGAUCUCUUUAAUGAAACCAAGUUUAUAUUUUCUUUUCUUUUGGUGAUUAGAUGUUAAAAUAGUACUAAUUACGUGAAGGUCCCCUCGUAUUAUUUUUCUCCUUUUUUGGUGUUUGUUUAUUCCUUUUGCUUGCUUCUGCCUAUCAACACAGGCUAGAGAUAUUUGAAUAUGAAACAUGGACAACAAUAUUGGAGAUUCGCAUAAACAAACUAUCUUGAAAAAAAGGGUUUGAGCUUUACUUGAGUGAUAAUCAUGGACUCUCACCAUUAGAAAAUUUAAUUGGUAAAUAAGUUGUCUAAAUAAAGUACAUUGCUCUAUUUUCCCAGGAUCUCUCGUCAUGGAUGGGUAGAUUUAUUAUCUUGAAAAUUGUAAUAGUGGCUGAUUUUCUUAAAGAUUGUAUUGCAAUCACGGAUUAAGAAGAGGGAAAGUUCAUAGUAUUAGUCUGCAUUGUCCAUUAUCUGAUUUAUUAAUUACUACUCUUGAAAACCUUACUCCGAAUGUCCAAUUAAUAUUAGGAUGAUUUCGAUCAAAUUUUCUCCUGGUGGGAUGACAACCUAUGAUGGUUCUCCAACCUGCUCACUUCUUAGUAAGAGUAACUUAUUUGAGCUAAAUUACAGUUGAUGAUAAUCUCCUGAAAGGGCCUAGCUUCACUAGUGAAUAUGGAGCUUCUGCUUGAUACUCAACUAGACUGAGCUUCACCAGUGAAUAGUCAGUCUUUUUUUACUCCCUAUGUCCAAAAAUGUUGACCUAUAACUGUGCAUUCUAAGGUUUGUCAUCAUUUUCUUUAUGUGUAUCCUUGCCUUCUUCAUACCACAAUACACUUAGAGAAAUUCAGAAGUCAAGUGCGACUGUCAUUUUGGGUGAGAGGUAGUAUUUUCUUAAAAUGGUAACUUACUAACUUUAUGGCUAUAGUUAUUGUUAGUUGCACAUUUGAGUGAAGAAAGAGGAUUAAAAAAUGAAUAGAGAAGAGAAGGUAGUUCAGCGAAUUUAACAUUAACAUUCAUCUUAAGAGACAUACAUCAAUACAUCAUAUAGCUUAAUGUAUUACAAUAGGUUUUCUAUAGGUAGAGCCAUUAUUCAUAUCAAUAUCAUGCAUGUAAGUAAACAAAAACCAACCAGCUGACUGGAUUCCCAAAUCUCCCUUAUUUUAUUUCUCUCUUGAACUCCAUAUUAGUUGAGACUGUCAAAGGCAACACAAGAAUUGUCCAGAUUAACAAGACCACAAGGGUACUCCAUUUAUGUGUAUAUAUAUAAAUAGAAAUGGUUAUUAUUUCGUCCAAAAUUAACAAUUAAAUGGAUAUAUGGACAGAUUAUGGAAAUAGAACAUACAUGUCACAGUUGGUCCUUCGGGAGAUUGGAAUGUCCAAUUUUACACCGCAUUUUUCAGGCAGAGCUUGGGCUGCAUCAUCUUUCAAGCUCGGAUAUUGAUUGGCAGCUGUCUUCACACAGUUGCAAGCUGCACGCUGUCUUCAGGGGUUGUAGUCAUCCCUUUAAUACCUUGCACUCCAUUGCAGCAUGGAGGCGAUGGAGAACCCCCUUAGGUGAGUUAAGGGACGCAUGGUGCCAAAGACGCAUCGACUUGUCCACAGUUUAUAGCGGCCUGCCCUUGCUCAAACAUUAGAACAAUGGCUAGCACCACCAUCACUGAUAUGAUAACAGUCUUCAUAUUUGAGCUAGCUUUGUGUUGGUGUUUCAGCUUGUAUGUUUUAGGGGUAGCUUCUUCUGUGUGGUGCUUUGGAGGAGGCUCUCGGAUGGGGUAUAUAUAGUACUAUAGGGGUGGCUUAAAAUAGUAGUUGUUAAUCUGUUUUGGCUUUAUCUUUGUUCAUAUCACUUGGUUAUCUUUUGCUGCAGAAAGAGAAUGAGCACUUACAUAAGUUUGUUCUCUCAUUCGCAGUUUUUGUCAGUCGAUGCCAGAUUGGUGACAUCUAGACUGAUGUCUCCCCUUAUGUUUUUGAUUAUCUCUUCUGCUCUAGGGAAAUCAUUUACUUACUGAAGUUGAUUAGUUACAAUGAGGUAAGAGAUUAAUAUAAAUUGCGGCUGUUAUGAGUUUCAAAUUACAGUUGCUGCUAAUGGUCUUACCUUUUCAUUUUUGUAAUAUUCUGGAAUUACUUGUAAAUUAUUUUAUCUGUUUACGAUGGUUUUCUGUGUAGCUCUUAGCUAAUAUUGCUUGUCAUCUCUCUCUCUCUCUCUGUGGUUAUGAACUAUUUCUCUUAUUGUACGCUUGGAAAUUGGAAUCCGAGGAAAGGAAAGGAUAGCAAAGGAAAAGAUUCAAUUCAAUGAAAAAAAUAAUUAAUUGAUGGUUCUUCUUAUCUUGGUUUAGGAAUCAGAUAUCGAAAAUGUGGUUGCAUCUGUCAUGGGAGCAAAUACAAAUGCCACUGCUCUGUUAUUCCAGUUCUUGGUGAGAAAGGAUGCACUACAAUUGAUGUGGUAAGCUGUUCAUUCUCUAGUUUUCAUAUACAAUAUGAUCAUAGACUACUGAGGAAAUUCAUCUUUUGAUUAUAACAAACCAAUGGAUAUGUUGAAGAGAUUUUGAACUCAACUGUAGGCUUAAUUGCUAAUAUCUUUAGAAGACACAAGUUGCAAGAAGAUACUAUGUCAUUAUUUUGGAUUUUGUUUUCUGAUAAGUAAAUUCGGAGAUUCUAUGAAUGCUUCAUAUUUAUUAAAUUGUUUGCAUGAAUUCCAAGCUUCUUAUGGUUCAUCAAGAGAAUAAAGAUAUUUUUUUAUGACCUAUAAGAGCUCGUGUAAUUUGAACUUGCAAGUUGCAAGUAUAGUGUAAAGGCCCACAUCCACACAGGGGAACCAAUAAAACCAUUCCUCAGUACAAUACUAGUUAAAAUUUUAAGAACCAAUUCCAAAUUUCAAUUUCAUGCUCCCAAAGUCACGAACGGAAGAAAUGUUUUAUUUUCAAACCUGAUAUUAAUCAUAACCUGAUCUUAAUCAUGUUUCACAUUUGGAAUACUUAUCAAAUGGGAUGCAAGAUGCGUAGGUAAUUUCACAUUAAAUUUUCAUAUAUAAUAGAGAAGCGAAGGUGUUUAAAACUUCUAAUAUUCAUUAGCUAAUGCAGUCAACUUAUCUCUAUUGGAAAUAAAAUAAAACAAAUACAGAAAUGAUAACAUUACUACAAAGUACUAUAAAUCAAUAAACAGUAAGCAAAGACUAUUGAUUACUGAGUGGGGAAAGAGGAUAUUAAAUAGAGAAAGAUAAUAAAGUUAAGCAAAUAUAACAAUAACAUUCAACAUAAGAAAAAUACUUGAUAUGGCUUAUUGAAGUAGUACAAAUAGGUUCUAUGUAAGUUCAACUAUUAUUCUAGAGCAUCAUGCAUGUAAGUUGACAAAAACAACCAGCUGAUUGCAUUUCCAAGUCUCCCUUUUAUGUUUCUGGCCUGCUGUCGCCAUAGUUGUCAUGGCGUCGCCUAGGCGUCCUGGCGAUGCAACGCCUUGGACGUCGAGCCGCCAAGGCUUAUGCAUUACGCAUUGGUAGCGGGCGCAAGUUAAGUGAUUAAGUCAUUUUUUACCAAGAUCCGUCAUAAUCCAUGAAUUUUUUAAAUUACGUAAGUAACCUAACUCAUGACCUUAACCUAACUCAUGACCCUACUCUUUUGAAUGAGAGUAAUGCUCGUGAGGGAGACAAAAAUGACUUCAUAGUUGAUGACUUUGCUUGAGUUGUGACUAGAAACAGAGUAAAGAGUAGAGACUUUUUCAUAAUGAUAAUGUUAGUUAUUAUGUUUUGGGUUGUGUAUAUAAAAUUUUAUUGUGUAAUAUACUUUUGAAAUAAAAUAAAUAAUGUAUAAAUUGAACAUUGCUAACGACUUGUCGCCAUAAGAAUGUCAUGGCGAGUGCCUUAUGCCAUGACAACUAUGGUUGUAGCAGACAACCAAAAAUAAAACCUUACUGGGAAUGAUAUUUAUGUAGUAGUGCAAGUAAGAGUCGAAUCCACAGAGAUUCAGAGAAUGAUUAAUCUAUUUUUAUACUUUGUAUUCCAAAAAGGGAGUUUUAAAUGUUUGUUGAAUAAAGUAAACUAAUAUGCUAAUAACGCAAAAUAAACUAACGAAAUAAAUUAGAGAAACAAGCCUUGGAUUAAUUCUUCUUCCACCUUCAGAAACUUGCACUGAUUAUUGACUCAAGCAUAAACAAUUAGUAUUUUGAAUAUUUACCGUUGGAAUUACUUCCGUGUCUUUCCUUAAUUAUUAAUUGUAGUUAGAUAGAAACAAGCGAUCUAAAUAACCCUAACUACCAAACAACUUUAGACAAGCACUGAAAUUUUAAUCUAAUAGCAACUUUAAGAAAUAGAAAAAACGAUGAAGUUAAACAACACAAGCACAAGCGGUUGCAUUUAAUUUAGUUGAGUAUUCUUUCAAAGAUAUAAUAAUUUUCUAAUCUGCAGUUAAUUAUUAAUUUUAGUUGUUUCACAAAUUAGAGUAAUCAAACAAUUACGGAUUUGAUAUAUAAUUUAGCAGUAGAUUUCGAUGAAUAAUAAACUAGCGUGCACUCUAGCAAUUAAACAUAUCAACCAUAGAAAUUAAAUGCAGAAGAAUAAUCAAUACUCAUAAUAUAAAUUGAAUAAUUAAAAUCAAUUAGAUCUCACAAUGUAAUAAUCUGAAGCUUUCGUCCCCUUAAUCCAAGAAUAAAAAUUUAGCUAUACAUGACUAUAAAAACACCAAAGAAUAAUAGAGAGAGAAUUUUGUAGACAAGUCCUUAAGCUCUCUUGGUAAUCAUCUAUUUAUAGGCAUAAGACAUUAAUUUUUUCCAUUUAGGUUUCAACCUCCUAGUGACAAUCAACUUCCUUCAAAGAGAUUUUCUUUUCUUUCAUUAGAUUUAACUUUCACAUCAAGAUUGUUCCACCUCAUUCCUUAUACGAUUCUUUUUGUUUCUUUCCUUCCAUGAAUAGGUUCAUUAAAUAGUCAUAUUUAAUAUAUGUAAAUAUUUUAUUCUCAUCAGUUUCUCUCUUUCGGAACUCCAUAUUAGUUGAGACUGUCAAGGGAACACAAAAAUAGUCAUAAUUAAAGAUGGUACUUCAUGAAUGUUCAUAUAUGUAAAUUUAGGAGCCAAUUAUUAUCCAAAAUUUACAAUUGAAUGGAUAUAUGCAGAUUAUGGAAAUAUGACUUACGCGUCACAGUUGGUGCUUUGGGAGAUCGGAAUAUCUAAUUUAACACCGCACUUGUCAGGUAGAGCUUGGGCUGCAUCAUCUUCCAAGCUUGGGUAGCGAUUGGCAGCUGUCUUAACACAGUUGCAGGCUGCACGCUUGUCUUCUGAGCUAGCUUUGUGUUGGUGCUGCUUGUAUGCUUUAGGAAUAGCUUUCUUCUGUAUGGUUUGUGAUGGAGGAAGCUCUCGGCUGGGGUAUUAUUAGAAGAGCAAAUGUGUCAUGGUUAUGAGCUUUCAUUUAUAAUCAUUUGGAACUACUUGUAACUUAUUUUAUCUGGUUACAACAAUUCUAUAUUGCUUCUAUUAAGCUAAUAUUUGGCUACGUGC